rnacentral:rRNA from 1 species
UCGCUCCUACCGAUUUUGAGUGAUCCGGUGAACCUUUUGGACUGUGUUUGGGCUUGACUCAGACAUUGGAAGUUAAGUAAACCUUAUCACUUAGAGGAAGGAG